rnacentral:lncRNA from 1 species
UUGACAACAGAAACUACCACGUCAAAGGAAUUGUGCUAAUUCUAAAAUCUACCUGGGUAUUUUGGUCAUCAUUAGUGUUUGAUUCUGUAUGUCAAAUAAAUCAAGCAUUAAGUUUGCUUUACUGCCAAAAAUGUUAUAUUCCACAAAAGGAAAUCCACUGUAGAUCAAAAUUUCCAAAGAUAAAAAUAGACAAAUAAAAGAACAAUCAAUGCUAUACGAAAACAUGCAAAUGAUGACAUUACUUGCAAAUAAGGAUUUUGAGCUCAGGACAUAAAUAAGAGAAAAGUUUGAGAUGGAAAAGCAUAUCAGAAAUAAUAUUCAUGGGUUAAUGUAGAGAGCAUUAUAUUACCUAAAGAAAUGUACCAUGCCAAAGGCCUAUUUUCAACACCAAUAAUGCUGUAAAUGCUAUUUUAUUUAUGGGUUAACAAAUUCUAAGUAGCUUAUGGAUUUGCAAAGUCGAUAUAUUUGUGGGAACUAAUUCAAAUUCUUUUCAAAGCAACUAAAAAUAUAAAUUUAAGUUAACCAAAGGUAACACAUCUGAAAUUAUAACAGGAAAAUCUUUUAGGUAAAAACAAAAAUGUUCCAUUAAAUGGGACAAAAUGUCUAAAAGAAAAUGUUACAAUAUUUCAGGAAAAAAUAAGCUAAAGUAAUGUAGGAAGUCAAUUAAAUCAAUUACCAUAGAUUGAAGUCCAUUAAUACUAACAAUCUUCUCCCCAUGUGCACUAUCUUUGAUAACUAAUCUCAAAUGGACCUAAUUCUCUAUCUGUAUGGUUUGUAAAAUUCAAAUGUACCUUAAGAGUAGUGAUUAAAUCAUUAAAAGCCAAAUAAAAUAUCACAAUCCUCAAUGAAGGAAGAGUGCAAUAUUGAUGAUAUAAAAGAUAACUUCCAGUCGCAUGAAUUGAUUUCAUAUCAACUUCAACUAAAAAAUUGCACUAAUAUAUAUACCAAGCCAUUUUAACCCUUUUAUUUCUAUAGUUCGUGUCAUACAAAAAGAAUCCAAUUGUAGCAGAAAGACUUAAUUGCUUAUAUUAGAGAAUUCAAGUCAAUCUUAACCUACCUUAGCGGUGCGGGCCUGUACAACUGAUAUGGGUUUAUCAGUAAUAUUUUUAGAAUCAAAACCAUUGACCUGCAUUAUUUGGUUAAAGCACAGGAUACAAAAAUCACUAAUCCGAUCAAACCACUAAUGAGAUGGGUUAAUGAUUAAUGUUUUCAGAAACAAAAUUCUCAUCGAAUCACUAAUCUCAAUAAUAGGCAUUACCUCCUUUUGUGCAGGUAGUAAAAGAUAGGAUGUUAAUUUAAAAAGAAAAAAGAAAAAGAUCCAUAAAUAAAACAAAUUAAUAGUGACUAAUUACCAUGAAGAGAGAGGGUAUUUUCUUUAGCACUGUUAUCGAUUUUUCUUCAAAAACCAAAAACUCAAAACAGUUAAAAAAUAAAUUUAAUUAUACUAAGAAGAAAACAACCCAUGUGCUUUUUUAUGGGUAAUUAUCCCAGUAAACUUCAGAAAAUUUCUUACAUAAACAAAAUCCAUAUAAAAUAAAAAAGUGAAAGCGUAACACAUAAAAGGAACAAAAAAUCGGACAGAAAUAACUUAAAAGAAAACUCAUACAUUUUCGCAUGUAGCAUAACAUAAUAGAUCAAAAUUUUCAUAUCCAUAUGGCUCUAAAAAAUUGAUAUCUUGGGUCUCAAAUACAAAACAGGACAUGACGAAGAAGAUAAACAAACCUUGAAGGACUUUGAAGAUGACAGAGGGUUGUUGAUAUUGCAGACUUCUUCUCCCCUGCUCAUCGUCGUUGCUUCCGCCCUACCAAAAAUAAAGAAAUCUUGCAAAGUUAAGAAUUAUGAAAAUUUCAAAAUAGAGACUAAUAAAAUUCAAUCAUUUUCUUACAACCGAAAAGAAACCCAAAUCUGAUUUUUUUUUUUUCUAAUUUUUUUCUUUCUUUUUACUUUUUUGCUGAUAACCCAAAUAUGAUUUUAUUUGUCGACAACCCUUCUCCUUCCUUCUCUCUGUCUUCUCUCAUAUCUAAAAAUUUUUCUCCUUCAUUUCUUCUUCAAAAUUUCUCUCCUAUAC